rnacentral:lncRNA from 1 species
GAUCCUUUCAAAGGAUACAAUUAUUUAAUAGACGUUUUAACCAACAAGAAUCAUAAACGUUUACGAAAAAUAUUGUUGUAUUUGUCUUUGUUUCUUCACGAUUAUGGCUGUGUCGUCCACUCGGAAUAAAGAAAUUUAAAUUGUGAGUGUCAGCAAUGGUCAGCAGUCGUUUCAUUCAAAUCCUCAUAAACAUUUAGAACACAAUGACUAGUCAUGUUAACAAUUGAUGAACCUGAGAUCACUUCCAGAAUUGUCGUUGACAAAAGUAUCAUCAAUCCCGAUAUAUUACAAUUUUGGAAUCUACCAGUAAUAAGAUUACUAGAAACAGUUUCAUUAUUAAAAUUGUCUUUACAGGGUUCAUUUGUUUUUAAAAUGUCUAUGUUAACGUAACCAUGAUGCAUUAUUGUUAUAUCACUUGAUGUGCU